GCCCACGUAGUUCAAUGGAUAGAACGAGCGUUUCCUAAACGCUAAAUCCAAGUUCGAUUCUUGGCGAGGGUA
rnacentral:tRNA from 1 species